ensembl:snoRNA
GAUCAAUGAUGAAAAUAGCCAAAUCUGAACAUCAGAAGACAUCCUAGUCAAUCUGAUGCAUGAUCUGUAGUGUUCUGAGA